AACGAACGCUGGCGGCAUGCCUAACACAUGCAAGUCGAACGAAGCCUUCGGGCUUAGUGGCGCACGGGUGCGUAACGCGUGGGAAUCUGCCCUUGGGUUCGGAAUAACAGUUAGAAAUGACUGCUAAUACCGGAUGAUGUCUUCGGACCAAAGAUUUAUCGCCCAAGGAUGGGCCCGCUUAGGAUUAGGUAGUUGGUGGGGUAAUGGCCCACCAAGCCGACGAUCCUUAGCUGGUCUGAGAGGAUGAUCAGCCAACACUGGGACUGAGACACGGCCCAGACUCCUACGGGAGGCAGCAGUGGGGAAUAUUGGACAAUGGGCGAAAGCCUGAUCCAGCAAUGCCGCGUGAGUGAUGAAGGCCUUAGGGUUGUAAAGCUCUUUUACCAGGGAUGAUAAUGACAGUACCUGGGGAAUAAGCUCCGGCUAACUCCGUGCCAGCCGCCGCCGUAA
rnacentral:rRNA from 1 species